AUUGAACGCUGGCGGAAUGCUUUACACAUGCAAGUCGAACGGCAGCACGGACUUCGGUCUGGUGGCGAGUGGCGAACGGGUGAGUAAUGUAUCGGAACGUGCCCAGUCGUGGGGGAUAACGUAGUGAAAAUUACGCUAAUACCGCAUACGAUCUAUGGAUGAAAGCGGGGGAUCGCAAGACCUCGCGCGAUUGGAGCGGCCGAUAUCAGAUUAGGUAGUUGGUGGGGUAAAGGCCCACCAAGCCAACGAUCUGUAGCUGGUCUGAGAGGACGCCCAGCCACACUGGAACUGAGACACGGUCCAGACUCCUACGGGAGGCAGCAGUGGGGAAUUUUGGACAAGGGGCGAAAGCCUGAUCCAGCCAUUCCGCGUGCAGUAUGAAGGCCCUCGGGUUGUAAACUGCUUUUGUACAGAACGAAAAGGUUUCUACUAAUACUAGGAGCUCAUGACGGUACUGUAAGAAUAAGCACCGGCUAACUACGUGCCAGCCGCCGCCGUAA
rnacentral:rRNA from 1 species